GACGGACCAUCCAAACGUUAUUCGGAUUUACUGGGCGUAAAGGGCGCGUAGGCGGCCUGCUAAGUCGCACGUGAAAUCCCUGGGCUCAACCCAGGAACUGCGUCCGAUACUGGUUGGCUUGAAUCCGGGAGAGGGAUGUGGAAUUCCAGGUGUAGCGGUGAAAUGCGUAGAUAUCUGGAGGAACACCGGUGGCGAAGGCGACAUCCUGGACCGGUAUUGACGCUGAGGCGCGAAAGCCAGGGGAGCAAACGGG
rnacentral:rRNA from 1 species